UCCCACUAAUAAACCUACCAUUUUUCACACUCCUUCUAGAAAUUUAAGUCAGAUCUUGAAGAAUUUCAGUAACAUUUCAAUACACGAACGUGAAGAGAGGAGAGCCUACACAAUAAAGACUUUAAAAAAUUUGGUGGACAAGAACAAUACAUAAGAUCCCAUAGUAAUUGAUCAUCUUUCGCGUGACAGAGGUGUAGUGAUCCAGGACGACAAAAAGAUCACUGAACUAAGAGGAUACAAGGAAUUGCUUGAUGAGAAGAAGUUGAUUUUCGAGCAAUC